AUUGAACGCUGGCGGCAUGCUUUACACAUGCAAGUCGAACGGUAACAGGUUAAGCUGACGAGUGGCGAACGGGUGAGUAAUGCAUCGGAACGUGCCCGGUCGUGGGGGAUAACGCAGCAAAAGCUGCGCUAAUACCGCAUACGAUCUGAGGAUGAAAGCGGGGGACCGUAAGGCCUCGCGCGAUCGGAGCGGCCGAUGUCAGAUUAGGUAGUUGGUGGGGUAAAGGCUCACCAAGCCGACGAUCUGUAGCUGGUCUGAGAGGACGACCAGCCACACUGGGACUGAGACACGGCCCAGACUCCUACGGGAGGCAGCAGUGGGGAAUUUUGGACAAUGGGCGCAAGCCUGAUCCAGCAAUGCCGCGUGCAGGAAGAAGGCCUUCGGGUUGUAAAC
rnacentral:rRNA from 1 species